rnacentral:rRNA from 1 species
CCAUAGGUUAAUGAGGCGAACCGGGGGAACUGAAACAUCUAAGUACCCCGAGGAAAAGAAAUCAACCGAGAUUCCCCCAGUAGCGGCGAGCGAACGGGGAGCAGCCCAGAGCCUGAAUCAGUAUGUGUGUUAGUGGAAGCGUCUGGAAAGGCGCGCGAUACAGGGUGACAGCCCCGUACACAAAAAUGCACAUGCUGUGAGCUCGAUGAGUAGGGCGGGACACGUGGUAUCCUGUCUGAAUAUGGGGGGACCAUCCUCCAAGGCUAAAUACUCCUGACUGACCGAUAGUGAACCAGUACCGUGAGGGAAAGGCGAAAAGAACCCCGGCGAGGGGAGUGAAAAAGAACCUGAAACCGUGUACGUACAAGCAGUGGGAGCACGCUUAGGCGUGUGACUGCGUACCUUUUGUAUAAUGGGUCAGCGACUUAUAUUCUGUAGCAAGGUUAACCGAAUAGGGGAGCCGAAGGGAAACCGAGUCUUAACUGGGCGUUAAGUUGCAGGGUAUAGACCCGAAACCCGGUGAUCUAGCCAUGGGCAGGUUGAAGGUUGGGUAACACUAACUGGAGGACCGAACCGACUAAUGUUGAAAAAUUAGCGGAUGACUUGUGGCUGGGGGUGAAAGGCCAAUCAAACCGGGAGAUAGCUGGUUCUCCCCGAAAGCUAUUUAGGUAGCGCCUCGUGAAUUCAUCUCCGGGGGUAGAGCACUGUUUCGGCAAGGGGGUCAUCCCGACUUACCAACCCGAUGCAAACUGCGAAUACCGGAGAAUGUUAUCACGGGAGACACACGGCGGGUGCUAACGUCCGUCGUGAAGAGGGAAACAACCCAGACCGCCAGCUAAGGUCCCAAAGUCAUGGUUAAGUGGGAAACGAUGUGGGAAGGCCCAGACAGCCAGGAUGUUGGCUUAGAAGCAGCCAUCAUUUAAAGAAAGCGUAAUAGCUCACUGGUCGAGUCGGCCUGCGCGGAAGAUGUAACGGGGCUAAACCAUGCAC